CGGCAUGCAAGUCGGUAUUGAGUACCUCAUAGGCCCUAAAAGGAAUCAAUAAUAGUCAAUGCACCUUAGAGUUCGAAAUGGCACUUAAAUUUUAAACAAAAAAAAGAGAGCCAAACCUAGCAAGCAGCAGAAAUUUGAUUUGCACUCCGUAUUGGUUGCACAUUGGUCGUUCGUUUGAAAGGCCGGAAAGGAAGAAGUCACAGGAUCGAUAUUUAGAGAAACCACAAUUGAAGUGAUGAGUAUAACUACACU